rnacentral:rRNA from 1 species
AUGGCCGGGGUCGUCGCCUCCUCCACCGCUUUUCUUCUCCUCCUUGUCCUCCUGCCCAAGAACGGGAGCGUGGCCUUGGCGGCAGAGACGUGCUACUGCUACCAGAGGAGCGCCGUCAACGGGGAAGCGAACAAGCUGACCAAGACGAUCGCGCUGCUCGCCGUCGGCCCCAUUGAGCUGCAAAUAAAAAAGACGGUCUCGCCGGUGAGCGGCUGCUCGGGAGCGGUGCCGACGUCGCCAAGGCCACCGCCAAUCCCGGCGGACACGCGCACCCUUACACCUCCAGCCCCGCUUGCUGCGGAUAAAAGGGGCUUGAACUGGCGCCCAAAGGCAUGGUGCUGCUGGGGCAUCGCCGUGGCAACGGUGAUCGUCCUCUUCGCGGUGAGGCCUAAAAUGUUCCUAGUACCAUCGCGCAACGGCGGCGAACCGCUUGACGGCAACGAACAUACUACCAUGGUCAGCGUGGCCGCACAGGUCCCGACUGGCUCGCGUGAAACUAGGCGAGAACGUCGGUCGCGCCGGAUGCCCCGACCCCAGCUGCGAGAAACGUUGAUCAUCGAUAGCAAUGGGAAUUCACGGUUGGACGGCAACAGUGAGCUCUUCUACUGCCCCAUGUGCACAACGACGGCGCCCAUCAUCCACAAAUCCAGCUUCGGCUCAUGCGGCCACGCCUUCUGCAACAGCUGUGUAGCCAAGUACAUCGCUGUGAGGCAGCGUGAGAAUGUCGCUCUUCCCGUCGAAUGCCCCGAGUGCGAGGACGACGCCUGCCGCGACCCCUUGCUGAACAGCGAUGGCGAUGGCAAUGAAGAUUCAUCAGCGGACGGCAACGACGUCGGCGACGGUAAGCGCUUCUACUGCGCCAAGUGCAUGCAUGUGGUGCCAUGUGCAUGUAUACGGCGCAGCUUCACCUCGUGCGCCCAUGACUUCUGCUCCAACUGUGUUUCUCGUCGACUGCAAGGACGGCGCGGCGACGGCAAGCACUUCUACUGCACCAAGUGCAUGCACGUCGUGCCAUGUGCAUGUAUACGGCCCAGCUUCACCUCGUGCUCCCAUGAUUUCUGCUCGAGCUGUGUUUCUCGUCAACUGCAAGGACUGCGCCGCCGAGCCGGAAAGAGGCCACAACAUCAGCCCCCCGUGGACAUGUUGCUGUUAACCGAGGGCAACGAAGAUUUGCCGGUCGACGGCGUCGGCGAGCUCUUCGACUGCGCCAUCUGCAUGGAAACGGUGCCCGGCACCCUCAAGUUCAUCAUCAACUCGUGCGGCCACGCCUUCUGCUCCAGCUGCGUCGCCCAGUACGUGGCCGCGAAGCUGGACGACAAUGUCUGUCCCAUCGAAUGCCCGCAGCCAGGCUGCGAGGACGGCACCAUCGAGCCGGAGAGCUGCCACGGCAUCAUCCCCACGGACCUCCUCGACAAGUGGGGUUUGCUACUAUGCGAGCUCGCGGUCGGCGCCAAGAGGAUAUACUGCCCGUACCUAGAGUGCUCGGCGCUCUUGCUCACCGACGGCGAGGCCGGGGCGGCGGCCAUCGCCGAGGCGGAAUGCCCGCACUGCCACCGGCUUUUCUGCGCCCGGUGCGCCGUGCCAUGGCACGACAGCUUCGGGUGCGAGGAGUUCCAGAAGCUCGGGCAGGACGAGCGCGGCCGGGAGGACCUCCUGCUCAGGGGCCUCGUCGGCAGGGAGGGCUGGCAGCGGUGCCCCGAGUGCCAGAUGUUCGUGGAGAAAUCGGAAGGGUGCAAUUACAUCAAGUGCAGGUGUGGAUACAGCUUCUGCUACCGAUGCGCAUCCGAGUUGUCUGCGCAAAACCAUUACUGCAACAAGUGCAAGCGCUAA